rnacentral:rRNA from 1 species
CCUACGGUAGGCAGCAGUGGGGGAUAUUGCACAAUGGGGGAAACCCUGAUGAACCGACGCCGCGUGAAUGAAGAAGUAUUUCGGUAUGUAAAGCUCUAUCAGCAGGGAAGAAAAUGACAGUACCUGACCAAGAAGCCCCGGCUAACUACGUGCAAGCAGCCGAGGUAAUACGUAGGGGGCAAGCGUUAUCCGGAUUUACUGGGAGUAAAGGGAGCGUAGACGGUUAUGUAAGUCUGGAGUGAAAGCCCGGGGCCCAACCCCGGGGCGGCUUUGGAAAAGGUGUAACUAGAGUACAGGAGGGGCAGGCGGAAUUCUUGGUGUAGCGGUGAAAUGCGUAGAUAUCAGGAGGAACACCGGCGGCGAAGGCGGCCUGCUGGACUGAAACUGACGUUGAGGCUCGAAAGCGUGGGGAGCAAACAGGAUUAGAUACCCGAGUAGUC